rnacentral:rRNA from 1 species
UACAGAGGUGGCAAGCGUUGUUCGGAAUUACUGGGCGUAAAGGGCGCGUAGGCGGCCAUCUAAGUCGGACGUGAAAGCCCCAGGCUUAACCUGGGAACGGCGUCCGAUACUGGGCGGCUUGGAUUCGGGAGAGGGAUGUGGAAUUCCAGGUGUAGCGGUGAAAUGCGUAGAUAUCUGGAGGAACACCGGUGGCGAAGGCGCUGACCUGGACGAUGAUUGACGCUGAGGCGCGAAAGCGUGGGGAGCAAACAGG